GCGGUCUGGAAAGGCCCGCCAAAGACGGUAACAGCCCGGUAGUUGAAAUGGCUUUCCCUCCAGAGUGGAUCCUGAGUACGGCGGAACACGUGAAAUUCCGUCGGAAUCCGGGAGGACCAUCUCCCAAGGCUAAAUACUCCCUAGUGACCGAUAGUGAACCAGUACCGUGAGGGAAAGGUGAAAAGCACCCCGGAAGGGGAGUGAAACAGUUCCUGAAACCGUGUGCCUACAAGUAGUUAGAGCCCGUUAAUGGGUGAUAGCGUGCCUUUUGUAGAAUGAACCGGCGAGUUACGAUUUGUUGCAAGGUUAAGCGGAAAAAGCGGAGCCGUAGCGAAAGCGAGUCUGAAUAGGGCGCAUAAGUAACAGGUCGUAGACCCGAAACCAGGUGAUCUACCCAUGUCCAGGAUGAAGGUAAGGUAAUACUUACUGGAGGUCCGAACCCACGCACGUUGAAAAGUGCGGGGAUGAGGUGUGGGUAGCGGAGAAAUUCCAAUCGAACUUGGAGAUAGCUGGUUCUCUCCGAAAUAGCUUUAGGGCUAGCCUCGAGGUAAAGAGUCAUGGAGGUAGAGCACUGUUUGGACUAGGGGCCCUUCUCGGGUUACCGAAUUCAGAUAAACUCCGAAUGCCAUGUACUUAUACUCGGGAGUCAGACUGCGAGUGAUAAGAUCCGUAGUCGAAAGGGAAACAGCCCAGACCACCAGUUAAGGUCCCCAAAUAUAUGUUAAGUGGAAAAGGAUGUGGGGUUGCUUAGACAACCAGGAUGUUGGCUUAGAAGCAGCCACCAUUGAAAGAGUGCGUAAUAGCUCACUGGUCGAGUGACCCCGCGCCGAAAAUGUACCGGGGCUAAACAUAUUACCGAAACUGUGGAUGAACCUCUUUAGAGGUUCGUGGUAGGAGAGCGUUCUAAGGGCGGUGAAGUCAGACCGGAAGGACUGGUGGAGCGCUUAGAAGUGAGAAUGCCGGUAUGAGUAGCGAAAGAAGGGUGAGAAUCCCUUCCACCGAAUAUCUAAGGUUUCCUGAGGAAGGCUCGUCCGCUCAGGGUUAGUCGGGACCUAAGCCGAGGCCGAUAGGCGUAGGCGAUGGACAACAGGUAGAGAUUCCUGUACCAGUGCUAAUUGUUUAACCGAUGGGGUGACACAGAAGGAUAGGGAAUCGCACGAAUGGAAAUGUGCGUCCAAGCAGUGAGUGUGAG
rnacentral:rRNA from 1 species